rnacentral:lncRNA from 1 species
AACCCAUUGAACAUAAUGAUCCAACGCCAUCUCCCAAUUUUGAGUUCCCUGUAUUCGAAGUAGAGGAAGAUGAUGUUGAGGGAAUUCCUGACGAGAUUACCCGUCUUCUUGAGCAUAAAAAGAAGAUCAUUCAGCUGUAUCUUGAAAAUCAGCAAAACAGUCAAACUGGGGCAUUACAAAUGUAAUAAUAAUAAAAAAAGAAGAGGGUGAAAAACAAAAUAAAAAAAAAAAUCAAAAAAAAAAUAUUUCAAAAGAAAA